AGAGUUUGAUCCUGGCUCAGGACGAACGCUGGCGGCGUGCCUAACGCAUGCAAGUCGAGCGGAGGUAGUUUGAUGGUAACUGAUAACUACUUUAGCGGCGGACGGGUGAGUAACACGUGGGCAACCUGCCUCAUAGAGGGGGAUAGCCUUCCGAAAGGAAGAUUAAUACCGCAUAACAUUGCUUUAUCGCAUGGUAGAGCAAUCAAAGGAGAAAUCCGCUAUGAGAUGGGCCCGCGGCGCAUUAGCUAGUUGGUGAGGUAAAGGCUCACCAAGGCGACGAUGCGUAGCCGACCUGAGAGGGUGAUCGGCCACAUUGGAACUGAGAAACGGUCCAGACUCCUACGGGAGGCAGCAGUGGGGAAUAUUGCACAAUGGGCGAAAGCCUGAUGCAGCAACGCCGCGUGAGUGAUGAAGGCCUUCGGGUUGUAAAGCUCUGUCUUCAGGGACGAUAAUGACGGUACCUGAGGAGGAAGCCACGGCUAACUACGUGCCAGCAGCCGCGGUAAUACGUAGGUGGCAAGCGUUGUCCGGAUUUACUGGGCGUAAAGGAUGCGUAGGCGGAUUUUUAAGUGGGAUGUGAAAUACCCGAGCUCAACUUGGGUGCUGCAUUCCAAACUGGAAGUCUAGAGUGCGGGAGAGGAGAGUGGAAUUCCUAGUGUAGCGGUGAAAUGCGUAGAGAUUAGGAAGAACACCAGUGGCGAAGGCGACUCUCUGGACCGUAACUGACGCUGAGGCAUGAAAGCGUGGGGGAGCAAACAGGAUUAGAUACCCUGGUAGUCCACGCCGUAAACGAUGGGUACUAGGUGUGGGAGGUAUCGACCCCUUCCGUGCCGCCGUUAACACAAUAAGUACCCCGCCUGGGGAGUACGGUCGCAAGAUUAAAACUCAAAGGAAUUGACGGGGGCCCGCACAAGCAGCGGAGCAUGUGGUUUAAUUCGAAGCAACGCGAAGAACCUUACUUAGACUUGACAUCUCCUUGAAUUACCCGUAAUGGGGGAAGGUCCUUCGGGACAGGAAGACAGGUGGGUGCAUGGUUGUCGUCAGCUUCGUGUCGUGAGAAUGUUGGGUUUAGUCCCGCAACGAGCGCAACCCUUAUUGGUUAGUUGCUACAAUUAAGUUGAGCACUCUAGGCAGACUGCCGUAACUGGGAGAAAGGGUGGGAAUGACGUCAAUCAUCAUGCCGUGUGUCUUAGGCUACACACGGUGCCUACAAGUGGCCGGUGUAUGAGGAAGAU
rnacentral:rRNA from 1 species